rnacentral:lncRNA from 1 species
AAUAGUUUGUAAUUUUAAUUUAAGCAUGUUAAGUGUGUACAGGAUGAAGGAAGUUGUAAAAAAAAAUAUUUUAGAAAAUUUCAGUUCUAUUUUCAUUGACUUUAUGAAAGUAAAAUGCAAAUUAUAAAUGUACCGUGCCAUUGUCUGUUGAAGGUUGACUUGAAAUUUGAUCCUUUGUGAAAUGUAAUGGUCAGGGAAACAGGAAGGGAUAUAACUGAGGGUCUGAAUGGGGUUUACAGAACAUGGAAUAAUGGAUACAAAAUUAUAAAAAAAAUGACUGAAUACAAAAUAACAGGUUGCCAAAUUAUAAAGAAAAAGGAAUAAUGAGCAAAAACAUAAGAUAUAGAGAAAAUGACAGAAGAAAUAAAUAAAUAUAGAAAUUAGGGUUCCCCAAUACAGAACUUCAUAGCUUUUGAACCAUUUGAAUAGAAAGUUUAACAACAGUGGCAGAUCCAGGGGGGUUCUGGAGGUUGGAACUCCCCUUUUUUUUUGGACGAUCAAUAUAUUUGAAUGUGGACAUAUAGUUGGACCACCUACCCCUGGGUACCCCAGCCCUUUAUCCUGUGUUAUGAACCCU